UACAGAGGUCUCAAGCGUUGUUCGGAUUCAUUGGGCGUAAAGGGUGUGUAGGUGGCGCCGUAAGUCGGGUGUGAAAUUUCGGAGCUUAACUCCGAAACUGCAUUCGAUACUGCCGUGCUUGAGGACUGGAGAAGAGACUGGAAUUUACGGUGUAGCGGUGAAAUGCGUAGAUAUCGUAAGGAAGACCAGUGGCGAAGGCGGGUCUCUGGACAGUUCCUGACGCUGAGGCACGAAGGUCAGGGGAGCAAACGGG
rnacentral:rRNA from 1 species